UCUUUUUUCUCGACCCAAACCCGCCUCCCUCCCCAAAAUCAUCGAUCCCAGAUUCCAGCCCCUAAAAUCAUCAAAACCAUGGACAAAUCUCUUGCAGUACGACAUAUCCCAAAUCCCCAGCCUUAUUUCUCCACAAUUUUGACUGAUUAACCUUUGUUGUUUCAAAAUCCCCAAACCAUCGAAACCCUAAUUCUGGAAAAGUGUUACUUCCUUCACCGAAAGGUCAAGAAGGUCAAGCUCACCGUCCUCCAGUUCUACAAGGUCGACGACUUCCGGCAAGGUGCAGAAGCUGAGGAAGGAGUGAAAGAGAAGGCAGAGGGUAGUUUUGGAGCUAAAAAGUACUAUUGCAGAUUUGCAGGUGAGAAUCACUUAUUCUCCUUCAAUUGAGUUAAUAUUUUGUUUCUUGUAUUUUGUUUCUUGUUUAGCUUUAGGUUAGCUAUAACUUGAAUAAACUGGUAUAUGAUUUGUGCCUUUUGUGGUGGUGUUGACUGUUGAGGACUAUAUAGUUUGAGACAAACUUGUAUGUUUUUGAUAGGCAGUGUUACAAAUUAUACAAAUGAAUUAAGCAGCUGCUCAUUAAAAUAGUUACGCAGAGAAACCUUGACAUUAUAGUAAGCAAUAUUGCAAAGGAAAAGUGAGGUAGUAAGUGGACAAUCCUGGUUCUUUAUCUUCUCCGUUUGUAAUCCAAAAGUAUUAUGAAAAAGGGAUCUUUAAAGCAGCUCAAAUAUUAUCACUAACUGCUUCUACAAGGAACCAACUGUGGCUGAGCUGGAGCAGUAUCGCGAGCUAGAAGCAAUGGAGAGAGAAACUGCUGGACUUAGAUUGGAUGAACCAAGCUCUUCUACGACCACUGCUGCAACAUAAAGAUGUUUAGCGGCAUCCCCAUACUGGAGAAGAUGAGGUGAUGGCUGAUCGGAACAUUAAACCAACCUAACUUGUGUUUUUUUUCUUCAGUUUUAUGUAUAAUGGGGCUGCGUAUUUUUCAGUUAAUUGUUGGUCAUGUAAUUUCUUUAUAAGUGUUGUGUUAUUCUUUUAUUUUUAUUUUUUUGGACUUUUGGAUGAGUUGCAGCUUUGUACUUUGUUGUGGACUUGUAAAAUGUGGCAAUGUGCCGUAUGAUGUACUUUUACACUUCUAGGUUCUAUAACUUGUAGUUGUAGCUCAAUGAUUUAAUGUGUGGAUGAUAUGAUGUAGUGGGCUACAGUAGCAGUCAAUAUGGAAACCAUAAAUAGGCUAAAACUGUGCUGUAAAAGCCCAAAAACUGGAAAACUGAUUAGUCAAUAAGUAUGAAAAAAUUAGGCUGCUAAAAGUAAAUAGCUGGAAAAUUGAAAUGGGCCUUCUCAAACCCAAAAAAUUGAGAUGGCCCAAUAGUUCGGUGGAAGCCCAUUACCGAAUCAAGCCAGCCGAAUAAUCGGUAUACCGAAACUUCGGUUUGGGCCUUGCUCGGCCCGGUUUCGGUUACAGUUUGGGCUUACCGACCCAUUUCGGUUCGGUAGUGGUUUGGCCCAAUUGUGGUCGGUUUUGGGCCGAAUC